rnacentral:lncRNA from 1 species
AAUAACUGAGCCCCCCAGGAAAAGGAAAAGGAAAAGGUCAAGGUACUGAACGUUAUCUUCACCUACCCGGCCUACUGGUAGGACUUGCCGAAUUAGGAAGGCCUUGGAGCUAUAUCCCAAUCCUAACGUAAAAAAAAAAAUAAAUAGAUAGAUAUAGCCGCGCGUUUAUGUUGGUCAUUCUGAUAUUUCUAACAGGGAAUGUAGCUCUUUCGACCAACAUCUAAAUGUUGAUUCGACCCACAUUUCUGUUUAAAAAUAUCCCGCGAAAUGUUUUUUAUCUAUGACUUCCAAGAAGUAUUGAUUAUUAAUUUAUCGUAUUUAUCUGUUUAAAUGCUGAUCGUCUUUAUUUCGCCGCUGUAAUUUUUAUUUUGCCCACUUCACAUGCAGCAACUGGGAAUCGUAAUUGGCACGUAAGAGGUGAUAGACGACAACAACAAAAAGUACCGAUCCUAACCUCAAAUCAUCGACUCCUCUCGUGGCCUAGUUCAUGUUUGCGCGCUCCUUCCGCAUUUCCGCGUGAUGUUAUGUGAAAAUAAAACUAAGUAAUAAAAGUGACUAGUGAGCCAAAAAUGUCGUGAAUUGAAUAAGUGUCAAGAAUGUCUAGAAGAGGGGAGCGAAUGGUCCUUGCGGCCAUUCAAAAUAAAGAAUGUGUUUUGCAGCAGCCUGCCAGAAAGAGGAAGUUAUUGCCUAAAGUUAUUUCUGAAGUCAAGCCGGUACAUUCCAAAAGAAGGGCGACUCUGAGAGGGGCCAAGAAAAAUCUUUUUAAUGCGAAUUAUGAACCAUCAGCUGGAGGACAAAGUACAAAAAACAAUGACGUGCCUGAGCAAUUGAAUUCUGUACGGCCAGCCACAAGACAAACAGCAAUCCAGAAAGAUAUACCUCAGUCACUGAACUCUGUAUUGACAGCCAUAGAACAAGAAGCAAUCAAAGAAAAUGAGCCUGAGCCAUCGAACGAGUGGUAUUGUCACCGGUGGAUUCAGAACGAUUGUAAACUGACAUCCGAUACAGAAAAAUAUGUAGAUGUUGCUUGUGAGCAAACUGGAGUUACAGCGGAAAUCCUGAGUGAAAGUCGAACUAUCUUAGACUUUUCUGGAGAGCUAACAGGAGUUACAGCAAAUGCUCACAUUGAAGUUGAGCCCAACUUCAAUAUUCCGUUUGAAAGAAUAGAAGAAACAGCUAGAGUUCAUGCCGACGGUAAAACUGACUCUGGCAUUUCUUGUGAAGAUAAUGUUGUAGCAGCAGAAUCUCAGUUUGGGGAUGGAAGUAACGCCGACGUUCUGACGACAGCUUUGAAGGCAAACGAGUCUCAACCUUUGGUUCAAGUCUUAAAAUAUCAAGAGGAAGCCUGCUCAGUCUUAGAUCAGACACUUGAAGAUCUCUUUAGUAUAGAUACGGCUGCAGCACCAGUCCAAGUCAUUGAAGCCACUAACGCUGCUGAACAGUCCCACCUCAAAACUUGUCAAAAGAAUCCUUUCGCCUCCAUCCUCUCAGCAAAUGCAACAGGUGAAAAGAAUAUUUCUGAAAUCUCAUCUUCGCGUUCAGAACCUGUUUCUUUGUCGAAUGUUUAUAACUAUCCGGAGGAGUCUUCCUCCUCAGUUUCUCAAAAUUUCAUGAAUAGGCAUUCAACAAAAGCUUCGUCUUUGAAUGAACCUUUCGUAACACAGUAUGACGAAAUUCCUGACAUUCCCAUGUUUGGUAUUGUACCGGAUGGAGACUCUUCCGCACUGCCUGACAAUAACCGUGAUCCUGAUGUUAUAGACAUUGAUUCCUUACCCAUAUCUUAUCAGUCCAGUAUCUCUCUCUCUGCCUUUGAAGUCAUACCUGGAAAUGCUGUUAUCGAAACUACUCUUAGUGAAGGAACUUUCCACCUGCCUGUUAUCAACCCCAUACCUAAAAAUGCUACCGCCGAACCAUCUUCUCUUAGUGAAGGAACUUUCUACCUGCCUGUUAUCAACCCCAUACCUAAAAAUGCUACCGCCGAACCAUCUACUCUCAGUGAGGGAACUUUCCACCUGCCUGAUAUCAACCCCACACCUAAAAAUGCUACCACCGAACCUGCUGCCUCAGAAAAUUAUGCGACUGAUAAUAAUAUUCCUGGUCAAUGUAAGCAGAAAAAAGUGUACAGAAGAAUAAUGAAGUGGGACAGGGAAAAUGCUUGUAUCUACUGUCUAAAUAUAUUGGACGACCCUGACUUGUUCCCAAAACCCAAAAAGGUAUUAUGGACCAAUUUCUCGAAGCAUCUUAUUCAACACCACCCAAAUGAAGAUUUAGUUAAAGAGUACAAGGCAGUCCCAGAUAGCGAUCCUGAGCAAAAGAAAAAAAGAACUAAAAUAACAGAUGAAAUUCGCGGAAAGGGCAAUCUCCUAUAUAACAGAAAAGUUGUUGCGGGAGAAGUUAAAGGAAGCCUCAUAGUUGUCAAAAGAUCAAGACAUAGGCAGAUGACAGAAUUAACUGAAGCACCUUGUGCUCACUGUGGGGGAUUAUUUGCUCGGCGAACACUGUAUGCUCAUGAAAAGUUCUGUGAAAAAAAUGAAUUGAGACACGCACCGCCUCCAGAUGGUCAAAGGAGAAAAUGCCUGACUUCGAGUGGCAAUUGGCUGGAAGGAGAAAACAAUGAAGAUGACGCCUUUCUAACAGACUUUGUGUUUCCUCAUUUACGCUUCGGCGAAGCUGCUCUUAUAGCUAAGAGAGAUCCACUCAUUAGACAGUUAGCAAGUAGGAUGGGUAAGAAACAUUUUGAGACAAAGUAUUUAAAGUAUAUUGCGAGCCGAAUGCGUAACUUGGCUAAUUUUUUAAUUAUCAUGCGGAAGCAAAGUAAUGAGGUCGAGAAUUUAGAAGAUUGUUUUUGUGUUGCUCAGUACGAUAAUGUUCUUACCGCAGCAAAAUUGCAAUGUGGGAUGGAUGAAAUGACAAAACAAAUGAGGUCACCCAGUGUCAUUCCAUUCCUGAAAAGAAACAUACUGGAUUGUCUUGAGAGAAUGCGAGACAAUGCUCUGCGGCUACCUCACCUAGAAGAGGAGCUUGCCGCAAAGAGGGAAGUGGACAACUUUAAGCAACUACUGGAAAACAAUUGGGGACAUGAACUCGCUGCUCUUGCUGACCGAUUGCUAAAAGAAAGAAAAAUGAAAAAACCAGAGAUCAUGCCACUGAGCGCAGACAUAGUCGCGGGAUGUAAAGAAAUUGAAAAACUUGAAGCUGAAUAUUUGGUGAAGAUCAAGAAAAAUCCUACCCAAGGUUUACACGAAAAACUGUCAAAAAUACUCAUAGCUCACUUCCUGCUUCUUGGGAGAAAAAGGCCGACUGAGGUCGCCACAGCGAAGUUAACUGAUUAUCUGGAAAACAUUGAAGAAUUAAAUGAAGAUGAUGAAAAAUUAUUACAAAUGUUGUCUCCUGAGGAAAGAGAAAGUUAUGAAGAGCUGUAUACAUUUAAUAUUUUUGGAAAAGGAACCAAGCCAAGCGCCUGCCUCCUUACCCGCCGUAUGAGAGAGUGUCUAGAUGCACUGAUAGAAACAAGAAAAUACGUAGGAGUGCGCUCUGAAAAUCCAUUACUAUUUGCCAAACCCUAUAAUCCCAAUUGUAGGUAUGAUGAAUACUACGAUGGGACAAAAUGUGUUUCUUAUGUCAAAUCUUUGUUUGCACCUCAGAAGCCUGAGCACUUCAAGGCAAAUGGUUUCAGGCACCACGCAGCAACAAUGUUUAAUGUCUUGGACAAAGGAGAAUCUUUCAGGAAACAAGCAGCAGCUCAGAUGGGACACACCUUUAAUAUUCAUAAUAGUGUUUACACAAAUAAAAAGAGUGUGAUUCAGAGAGGAGUUGUUGGGCAUCAGAUGCUGCUGAUGACCCGACAAUCUAUUAUAGAUACUGCAAACACUAGUCAGUCAAAAGAUCAUCAAAGAAUUGACCAUCAAGGAACAGCAGGAGAGAAAGACCUUCACGAAUCAAAAAAUCUUUCGGAAAUAGAAAAGUGUCAAGAAACAGAAGAACGUCAAGAAACAGAAGAGUGUAAAGGAACAGAAGAGCAUCAAGGAACAGAGGAGCAUCAAGGAACGGAAGAGCGUCAAGGAACAAAUGGCCAGCAUGAUUUAGAAGAUUUUAAUGACUCUUUUGACAGUGCUGAUGACUACAUCCCAACUCCGCCACCAAAAAAAACAAAGAAAAACCCAAUUAAGAGACCAAAAUGGAGUCACGAGGCUAAAAAGGCACUGUAUGAUCGAUUUGGUGCCAACGUGGUAUCGAAAAAGAUGCCACCUCCAGGAGAGCUCAAAUUAUUCGUCGAAACAGAAGCUGAAAUGCAAAGUAGAACCCUGGUACAGGUUCGAGCGUAUCUAGAUGCAGCCAUAAAAGGUAAAAGUAAGUACCCAACUGAGUACUUAACACAGUUUCUAAAAUAAUUUUAAUACUCAUGUUCACAGGGCUGUAUAAUAUUCUGUUGCUGUCAAAUCCCCUGUUUGAACAGAAUUUUUGGUUUUUUCCUGUCAUAUCUCUGCGCUUCUCCAGUCAGCUGUAAAACUUCCAAUUCUUAAUAAUAAUUUCCAAAAACUAUCUCUAGAAUAUUGACGCCCUUCCUUCCAAAUUUCUACAAUUAGUUCUACUUUUUAUUCACUUUGCGUGAAAAUAAUUUGGCAUUGUACAGUAAAUUUUGCAGCCCUGAAUUAAUAAUCUUUUUACCUUGGUAAUCUUUUCAAUUUAUAACACUAAGUUUAAGGAAGAUUAAAUUUCUAGAACUGGGAAUGUACCAAAAUAUUCUUGGUAUACCAAGUUUUUUUAUUCCCUCUUCUACUCUAACUGGAUUGGGCUAUUGCAAAAAUACUAUCCCACCCUUUUCACGAAUAUUGUGUGAAAAAACUUUGAUUUUGUAAGGUGACCAAAGCUCACAUUAGUUCUUUUUUCAAGAAGGGAAAUUCCUUUUCAAUGGUACAUUGUUCUUACUCAUAGUAUUAACGUUUGUCGGUUUAAGCUGUUUCAAAAAAAUGUUGUUUUCUAUGGUCACCAAAGUACUCAUUAGUUCUCUUUUCAUGAAGGGAAAGUCCUUUCAAAUGGUGCAUUGUUCUUACUCAUAGUAUUAGCAUUCGUCAGUUUAAGCUGUUUCAAAAAAAUAUUGUUUUCUAUGGUCACCAAAGUACUCAAUAGUUCUCUUUUCAUGAAGGGAAAGUCCUUUCGAAUGGUGCAGUGUUCUUACUCAUAGUAUUAGCAUUCGUCAGUUUAAGCUGUUUCAAUAAAUAUUGUUUUCUAUGGUCACCAAAGUACUCAUUAGUUCUCUUUUCAUGAAGGGAAAGUCCUUUCAAAUGGUGCAUUGUUCUUACUCAUAGUAUUAGCAUUCGUCAGUUUAAGCUGUUUCAAAAAAUAUUGUUUUCUAUGGUCACCAAAGUUCUCAUUAGUUCUCUUUUCAUGAAGGGAAAGUCCUUUCAAAUGGUGCAUUGUUCUUACUCAUAGUAUUAGCAUUCGUCAGUUUAAGCUGUUUCAAAAAAAUAUUGUUUUCUAUGGCAAAGUACUCAAUAGUUCUCUUUUCAUGAAGGGAAAGUCCUUUCAAAUGGUGCAGUGUUCUUACUCAUAGUAUUAACGUUUGUCGGUUUAAGCUGUUUCAAAAAAUGUUGUUUUCUAUGGUCACCAAAGUACUCAAUAGUUCUCUUUCAUGAAGGGAAAGUCCUUUCGAAUGGUGCAGUGUUCUUACUCAUAGUAUUAGCAUUCGUCAGUUUAAGCUGUUUCAAUAAAUAUUGUUUUCUAUGGUCACCAAAGUACUCAUUAGUUCUCUUUUCAUGAAGGGAAAGUCCUUUCAAAUGGUGCAUUGUUCUUACUCAUAGUAUUAGCAUUCGUCAGUUUAAGCUGUUUCAAAAAAAUAUUGUUUUCUAUGGUCACCAAAGUUCUCAUUAGUUCUCUUUUCAUGAAGGGAAAGUCCUUUCAAAUGGUGCAUUGUUCUUACUCAUAGUAUUAGCAUUCGUCAGUUUAAGCUGUUUCAAAAAAAUAUUGUUUUCUAUGGCAAAGUACUCAAUAGUUCUCUUUUCAUGAAGGGAAAGUCCUUUCAAAUGGUGCAGUGUUCUUACUCAUAGUAUUAGCAUUCGUCAGUUUAAGCUGUUUCAAAAAAAUAUUGUUUUCUAUGGUCACCAAAGUACUCAUUAGUUCUCUUUUCAUGAAGGGAAAGUCCUUUUAAAUGGUGCAUUGUUCUUAUUCAUAGUAUUAGAAGUCCUUUUAAAUGGUGCAUUGUUCUUACUCAUAGUAUUAGGGUUCAUCAGUUUAAGCUGUUUCAAAAUAAUAAUUAUUUUUUGGCUUAUCUAAGGACAGAGACUGACCAUGAAUGUUACGUACUGCAAUUUUUCUGAUUGGUACUCAAGGUAGUUUCUAAGUGGUAGAGGGACAGGCUUCAAUAAUACAUUAAUUAAUCAAUUAUUUCUAAGCGUACACAAUUUUUUUCAAAAAAGCCAAACUUUCCAACACUCUGCAGUCAUUUGGGAAUCCUUACGCGUAUACAAAAUUUAAAAUUUAAAAUGCGAAAUGCUAAAAGUACGGAUCAGCCUUGAAUAUGGCAUUAUCAGUCGAAUUUUGUAUGAAGAUUCCCAAUUGACUGCAGAAUAUUGUAAUGUUCAGCUUUUUUCGAAAAAAAAUUGUGUGCGCCUUGAAAUCAUUUAUUAAUUGAUCGAUUAUCAAAUCCUGUCUCAAUACUGCUGAGGAAGGAACCACCUUAAUAGUCUUAAAAAUAGAUUGGCUCUUUCAAAACUUAAAAUUUUUCUAAAAUUCAUUUUUCUCUCUAAUUUUUUUGUCAACCUCUCUUUUAUAAAUGAAAAUUUUUGUCUUUCCAAUUUUGUGACUAGGUUUUAAUUUUUAAGUUAUUUGUAGUCUAAAUUUCAUUUUUCUCCCUAAUUUUUUGUUAACAAACCUCUCUUUUAAAAAUAAAAAUUUGUUAUCUUUCCUUUCCAAUUUUGUGACUUGAUUUUAAUUUUCAAGGUAUAUUUGCAGAGGCAUAGCGUAGGAUCUGAAAGUGAAGAGCUGUUGGCAAUACUUAAAGGUCAAAGUUGUCCCAACUUCAAAAAAGUCAAGACUGUACAAGUAGCGCCCCCCCCCCAGUCAGGGCCUGGGGCAGAUUCCGAGUGGGGGCCCUCUGAUAGGAUGAAUUCACAACGUUGCUGGGUGAACACUCCGUGGGAGUCGGGGGGAGGGCACUCCUACAAAAGUGAGGGGGAGGUCUCCAAGGCCUGUCCUGUAAAAUUUUGAAAUUCUAGCCUUAAAAAAUUUCAAAAUUAUUCAUUUUUGUUUUUUUGUGCUCUUCAGUAGUACUUUGUCUAAAAAACACGAAAAAGUAGUCAGAUAUUAUUUUCCUCGACCCCAAAUACUUUUUCGAGGGCUCUACAGAGUCUUAUCUAAAGAGAACCAGUGCAAAAUAUGAGGUCCAAACCAGAACUCUCACUUUUCCAAAUCAGCUUUCACCUUCAUUUUCUUUUUUGAGACUUUCGCGAGCCUUGAGGGAAAUAUCUCGGGUUCUACAAUAGCUAGAGACUUCCUUUUUUUUUUUAAAAAAAAAAAAAAAAAAAAAAAGAAAGGUCAUGAUUUGGGUUGCAACUUGUCAGGAGGAAUUUUCAAUAUUCCUUUUUCUUCGUUUUAAAAAAUUAUGAAUAAGCUCAGAUGAUUAAAAAAAUAUAAAAAAGUAGAAAUCUUUAUUCAUAACAUACUUCCACUCAUGAAACAAAAUAACCUCCUAAGACGUUGUGAUAGACAUAUUUAGACACAUAAUAAACCAAAGAACAUUGAAAUUCAUUCAUUAAGUCUUGAGAAAUUUCCUUCACAAAAUAACCUUCUUUGUUACAUAUAUUGUGGGGGCGCCCCCAAAAAAAAAUUUUGGGGAUUUUUAGUUUGAGUUUACUACCCAUCCCGCUCUCCUGUUUCCCUGUUUUUUCUUUUUUUUCUCUCUUUUAUCAUCCUUUCCUCUUCUUAUCUCUUUUUUUCUCCUAU